GCUGUGGCCAUCAGUUCCUCCCCGAGGGCAAAGGAACUCCUGGAUGAUUCUCAAAGGAGCUCUGAUCCAACGGGGUCUCUAAGUGGGGUGUGGAAAAGAAUUCCUCAAGUUUGGAGAAAGAGAAGUCACCCAGCCUUUUGGAAGAAUGUCCUCGCCUUUGUGAUCCAACUACAGGGGAGGAGAGCCAAGGCUGUACAGUCUCCUUAGGUUUCAGAGUGCACUGCGGGGGUAAGGAGUGGGGCUGGGGCGAUCAGGGAGCUGGGAACUCCAAGAUGCAGAAAGUCCAGGGCUUGUCCAGGGGUCCAGAGACCCCUUCAGUCUCCAGCCCACUGGCCUGUCUGCUGAAGCCUUCUGCUUUCAGGUGGGAGGGACCAGCCCAGCAGGGUAGGUUCCUCCUAUACAGAGCCUCCAGCACUUGAGUUGGGCAAGAAAAGUUUAAAUGUGGAUAAAAAGGGCUGUCACAACGGAAGAAGCCCUUUAAACCACCCACAAAGAGCCAACUCCAAGGCGAGCUUUGUCUGGCCAAGGAGGAUUUCCUGGUAGGAGAGGGGUUAAAGUUGGGCUCCCCGCUCAGAAAGGAAGGAGCCCAGAUGCAGUCUAUGACAUAAUCCCCACAAUAGCUCUGUUCGGAAGCGGAAGAGAAAGCCUGGGGAGAAGCAAAAGCCCUUCGUAGAGACCGGGCACACGCUCCUUUAUCCCUUUUAGGCGGAGAGAGCCUGAAGAAGUCAGGACGGAGAAAUCCCUCGGGCUCAGCCUUGGUACCAGCAUGGGGAGCCCUCCACACCUGUACUGGCACCACAAAGUGAGCUAGCAGUCACUCAGAGCCGCCCUGGAACCCCCGCUACGUCUCCCAGCGAGCCAACCCUUUCCCGUCUAUGUCAGGUGCAGAGGACUCAAGAUCCUCUUAAAGCCAUUAUCGCUUCACGUUGAAGACAUAUGGGAUGCUUCUUCAACUGCCUGCUCUCUCCAGCUGAGACUUAACCUCCCUCCGCCUGGCCGGACCGCUCCACACACAUCACCGUUCCCUGCCCUGUUAUGCCCGAGUUCAAGCAGAUAAGCUACCAGCAUGGCUUCUAACGGAGGAAGGGAGGGGGGCUCUCCAGGGAACUCCGCUUUCUGAGGGAAAGGAGUUUGUACCACAGCAAAAGGCACACGCUGCCCUUCCUCAGUGACCUCAGAGAGGAAUCUACUUACAAAGGCUGAAGUCGGAGAGGAAAGUGGGAGAAGGAGGGGAGAGAGAGGGAGACCGUGACCAGAGAGGUCGCAAAGCUCACUGGAAUAACUGGGAGGCAAGGAAAAGGCCGCCUUGUCACGAGGACAGAACUGCUCGGACCCCUCUGAUUAUGACGGAGGGAAGGCGGGUGCUGAGGCAGUGCCUGGGGCAGAAGCUCGCGGACCACUGCGUGGUACGUGGGGACAUGCAGGAGAAAAUGCUCUGAAGCUGAUGACAAGGCAGACAGGAAACUUCCGUGUCCUUGCUGACAGGAAAGAAAGAGUGAAAUUCUGGAUUCUCUCUCCUCGGCAGGAUUUCUAACAGGCAUCUGAGGCUCACCCGCUUCCCAAGGAUGUGCUGACAGCUGGGAAUACUGCCCUUCAGGUCAGGCAGAGCAGGGAUCUAGGCCUCUCCAGGAGUUCACAAGAGGUUCAGUAAGGACUCAGACCAUGAUCCAAAACACAAAUGGGACUGCCAUUUCCUGCUGGGUUUCCAUGCUGUAAAAAAGUGGGGGAGAGAUGCCAACAGCAAAGUGCUCAGCCUCCUGUGGAAAAUGGAGUAUGUGAUGUAGCCGGCUCCAGGCUCUGACUUGUAAAUCUAAGUGAGAACUAGUUGCUAGCUGUAGAGGAUUACAGUGUUCAAGAGACACUCCACCACCCAAACUGCCAGUCUCUGCUCCCUGCCUGUGGACUUCUAGGGAGCUGACGACAAAGCUGUCUGGGGCCUCCAUGGGACGGGCAGCCUGGGGCUCUGGCAGCUCCUCUGGACCUCAGUUCACUGUCCUGUGUUCUUAAACAGCUUUGAUGGAACAAGCCAUCUGUGAGGGUUAUUUAGCUUGGAACUGGAAGAGAGUGAGGAUGUGGAAAAAAUAAAUCGGGCGGCCAAAGGAUGGGGCCAGAGAGAGAGAGAGGGCAGGUGGCAUGUUCACGGGACUAUGUGCCAGGGCCGAGAGGAGGGUGGGACUGCAGAGGAACAGUGCCGAAGGAGGCCAGCACGGGAGGUGCUGGGGCACCCAGGACAGCACGACUUUAUUUCCAAAGUGGUGUCUGCCAUUAUCCUUGAAGGGCUCACAAACCCUCACUUGCAGGUGUCUGUGAUGGGAGACUCCUGGGCUAUCACAGCUGUUAAGCGCCCCUGCUUUGCCAUCUGAAAAACAACCUGAGUUCUGCCUAAUUUCUUGCAGGGCCUGGGCCUGCAACUUAGUCUAAAAGGCAAAUCUAACAGUUUUUUGACACCCAAAGCUACAAGAUAAUGGCAAGAGCUCAAAGAGUGGAAAAGUAAGAUGAUGGAGGAUCAGGGGGAAUCCUUAUGAAUUACAGAAAACAGCAACAGAAACACAUAAACUGCAUGGCACAUGGGGAGGAUAUACGGGAAUCUGAUGCAGGACUGGAUUGUACCUGGUCGUUUCUUUGGAGUCGUCUUAACCGCUCCUUCAAUCAGUAUAAAGAAUAUAUAUAUGGGCUUCCCUGAUGGCUCAAAUGGUAAAGAAUCAGCCUGCAAUGUAGGAGGCCCGGGUACGAUCCCUGGGUCCUGAAGAUCCCCUGGAGAAGGGAAAGGCAACCUACUCCAGUAUUCUUGCCUGGAGAAUUCCAUGGACAGAGGAGCCUGGUGGGCUACAGUCCAUGGGGUCGCAAAGAGUCAGAUACGACUAAGCGACUAACACUUUCAAUUUCAUAUAUAUGUGUAUAUACACACAGAGAGAGACUUUUAUGUUUAGAAUCUAGGCGUUUUCACAUAUGUUAUCUCAUGUAAUCCAUGCUAGGGGACUACUAGCAUUCCCAUUUCACAGAGUGUAAACUCAAGCCCAGAGGGAAUGAAUAACUUACAUGCAGCUUUCUUAUGAUCUGAAUGGAGCAGAAUGAAGAUUAUGAUUCGUAACGAGACUUUUAAUCAGACCUCUCUACAGGUCAUUCUGGUAAAAUGGCAUUAGCAUUGAUGGUGUCUCAUCUGAUCUAUUCUCCUCACAGGAUUUGAGAAAAAGACCAAAAAAGCUGCUCCUGGAGUCUAUUUCUGAUUCUUUACCAAGUCUUUCCAAGUCAUCAGACUAAGAACAGGUUUAGAGACAGUGAGCCAGCAACUCUGAAUGCUGUUUACUUGACACACACACACACGGAGAGACAUACAAACUAUUAUAAACUGCUCAGUAUAGUUUCAGUGCUUCAUGCUGGUAAGACAGAGACACAAAAUUUCUGUACCAGCCUGUACCAGCGAAGCCUACUCACAGCCUAAACUGUUUUAAAAUGGACGACACAGAGCUAGAACUGAAUCCCGUCACUGAAUUCUGUUACGUAGGCUAAAGUCAUUCCUACUGCUGACAAAGCAGAAGAGAAGUUCAAUGACAGCAUCUCUUCUAGGAGCUGCUGAAGAGAUGGUGACACCUGGGUUUGAAGUACCAGGACAAAUGGAAGCUGUUCAGUAACGGCUGAAUCACAAGGCACGUGGUAAAAAACAAAAAUCAAA